UUUUAGACCCUAAACUAACCUUAGCCCUAAUAACAACCCCAGAACAGCAUGAAAACUGGAAAAGGAGAAAAACUUGGGUACUGAUACUGCAAAUGGCACCACAAAAAUGCCAAGUGGUAGCAUGGUAUUGUACUGGUACUGUAUUGACACAAUCCCCAACUUGUACUCAGUGUACUUUGAUCCUUUCAUCAAACUAAAAUCAUAGCGAAGCUAUCUACAUCAUGGAGGCAUGCAUGCAAUCGAGAAAGACAGACCUUUUAGGCCAAGCAAUGGGAAAGAAGUGGACAGCUGACGAUACAAAUGUAUGACUAAAUUGUGACUAAACUAAGAGAAGACUAUCUAAUUGUUACAGAACUAAUAGAUGGAAAUUUGAUCAUAGAGGAUUUGGUCAUGAAAAGAAGUGAAUGUAAUGGAAGACUGAACCAUCAAAAGUACAUAGAGAGGCACUUAUAACAAUUGAUACAUAUCAAUGAUCAUCAUCAGGUAAAAUGGCACAUUUUUUGCUGCAACAUCAAGGAUCACAUGAUCAAACUUAUCUAGGUGAAAUCCAAAACUCUAUAAUGUAAUAAAAACAAAUUUAUGCUCCCAGCAUGAUUAGAUGUUUAGCAUGUCAAAGGUGAUUUCUAAUUCAUUAUCUAUGCAUAGUACAUGAUGCAAGACCGAUGUUAUCUAACACAAAAAUUCACUUUAGUCGUAGUGAUUCAUCUGAAACCACAUGAGAUCAGAUAUCCAGCUCAGGAAUGAAACAUAUGCAAGAAACCUAACAAAGUUGGGGGGGAAUAUUCCAAGAAGAUGAACUUCUAAUAAGAAGGUUCAACCUCCAUUAGAAAAAUCGAAAUCAACCAUGGUUACCAAAAAAAUGAUGUCCUAGAAGUUGUUUAUGAGGAUCUCUCUAUAUAAAAAGAGAAUAACAUAGCUGUGAUUCAUGCAAUAUGCAUGAAUUUUAUUCAUAUCUUAGGAUCCUUAACUAAAGCUCAUCAUUUUACAGCAUCCAUCAUGGACUUCAACAAGGUCUGCCGUACCAACCUAGUACCACCAAAUAUGGGGCAUACCGUACCAUGCCGGUACAACAUCUUGUACUAUACCAACACUAUGGUACUGUACCAAACUGCAUACCGAUAUUAUAAUAGGAUUGUAUCGGUAUAGGAUUCAGUACUGAAAUAGCAAACUUUGGACUUGAAUAUAUGUCUCAAGCAAGAUUAGGGUCUAGAACACAUCUAUAUGGAACUGUCCUACAACUUGUAAGAAAAAAUAUUGACAAAGACAUAUGACCAGAAAUGGGACUUUGUCAUCAAUUGCUCAUUGAAUUAAAAAAAGCAACAUGAUAAGCCUUUGUGAGACUAACACAUACACGGAACAUAUGAUGCAAUGUAGAAUCAUUGAUUUUAGAAUGUAAGUUUUUAUGCAUUUUUAACCUUAUGAUAGAAAGAAAAUCAUGAAGGAUGCUACGAGCUAGGGUUCAAUUAUCAGUCCUUAGUUGAAAGAUUUUUUUUUCUUAUUUUCUUUUUUAGUUUCAUUCCUUUAGUCUAGACAAGUAGAAUUUCAGUAGCUUUAGAAAUUCCUUCUUUGAUGCUAAAUUUUGAUCAUGCCGCCCUAAUUUGUGCAGAAAGUUUAUCUAAGAAAGUGGAGCUGGCAAACACUUGCAUCUUGGACAAAGCAAGUGGCAAAAGAAUCUUCCCCUUUGCAAUGCAGCACACACUUACCAAUUGAGAAUUGACAAUAACGACCACCAUGCAUUCAUCAAAAAGGUUGCACUACCAUUACAUGUCAAAUUUGUCACACAACAAGUUAGCACAUGGAGUUCCAGCAGAACCUUUACAAUGAACAAUCAAAAACCCUUCAUGAAAAUCCAGUGCCUUUGCCAGUGCAGUAAUAUCAAGAGCACAAAGAAGUGAAGAAGCUAGCAUUCAGAGAUAAGUCACCAUGCAGAUGUUCCAAAACCAGGUACUUGCUAACAGUUAAAAGCAACCAUUCUAUGUAUCAUACUAUCAUUCCAAAAAGUUGAAAGCUGGAUCAUCAUUA
rnacentral:lncRNA from 1 species